CUUACACAUGCAAGUCGAGCGAUGAAACACCUCUCGGGUGUGAAUUAGCGGCGAACGGCUGUGGAACACGUGAAGAAUCUGCCUUCAACUCUGGGAUAACUCCGGGAAACCGGGGCUAAUACCGGAUAUGAGCCUUGAUCGCAUGAUCGGGGCUGGAAAGUUUUUCGGUUGAAGAUGACUUCGCGGCCUAUCAGCUUGUUGGUGAGGUAAUGGCUCACCAAGGCGACGACGGGUAGCCGGCCUGAGAGGGCGACCGGCCACACUGGGACUGAGACACGGCCCAGACUCCUACGGGAGGCAGCAGUGGGGAAUAUUGGGCAAUGGAGGAAACUCUGACCCAGCGACGCCGCGUGAGGGAUGAAGGCCUUCGGGUUGUAAACCUCUUUCAGUAGGGAAGAAGCGAAAGUGACGGUACCUACAGAAGAAGCACCGGCUAACUAUGUGCCAGCAGCCGCGGUAAUACAUAGGGUGCAAGCGUUGUCCGGAAUUAUUGGGCGUAAAGAGCUCGUAGGUGGUUCGAUACGUCGGAUGUGAAAAUCAGGGGCUCAACCCCUGACCUGCAUCCGAUACGGUCGAGCUAGAGUUUGGUAGGGGAGACUGGAAUUCCUGGUGUAGCGGUGGAAUGCGCAGAUAUCAGGAGGAACACCGAUGGCGAAGGCAGGUCUCUGGGCCAAUACUGACACUGAGGAGCGAAAGCGUGGGGAGCGAACAGGAUUAGAUACCCUGGUAGUCCACGCCGUAAACGGUGGGCGCUAGUUGUGCGAACCUUCCACGGUUUGUGCGACGCAGCUAACGCAUUAAGCGCCCCGCCUGGGGAGUACGAUCGCAAGAUUAAAACUCAAAGGAAUUGACGGGGCCCCGCACAAGCAGCGGAGCAUGCGGCUUAAUUCGACGCAACGCGAAGAACCUUAUCAAGGCUUGACAUAUACAGGAAUAUGGCAGAGAUGUCAU
rnacentral:rRNA from 1 species